UUGCACGGUGUCAGGGGAGAAGCAGUG
rnacentral:piRNA from 1 species